AUAUCAAUAAGCGGAGGAAAAGAAACUAACAAGGAUUCCCCUAGUAACUGCGAGUGAAGCGGGAAAAGCUCAAAUUUAAAAUCUGACAGUCUUUGGCUGUUCGAGUUGUAAUCUGGAGAAGCGUCUUCCGCGCUGGACCGUGUACAAGUCUUCUGGAACGGAGCGUCAUAGAGGGUGAGAAUCCCGUCUUUGACACGGACUACCAGUGCUUUGUGAUGCGCUCUCAAAGAGUCGAGUUGUUUGGGAAUGCAGCUCCAAAUGGGUGGUAAACUCCAUCUAAAGCUAAAUAUUGGCGAGAGACCGAUAGCGAACAAGUACCGUGAGGGAAAGAUGAAAAGCACUUUGGAAAGAGAGUUAAACAGUACGUGAAAUUGCUGAAAGGGAAACGCUUGAAGUCAGUCGCGUUUGCUAGGACUCAGCCUUGCCUCGGCUUGGUGCAUUUCCUGGUUGAACGGGCCAGCAUCACUUUUGGCUGCGGGAAAAAGGUCAGGGGAAUGUGGCACCUCCGGGUGUGUUAUAGCCUCUGGCUGCAUACCGUGGCUGGGAGUGAGGAACUCAGCACGCCUUCAUGGCGGGGCUUCGGCCACCUUCGUGCUUAGGAUGCUGGCGUAAUGGCUUUAAACGA
rnacentral:rRNA from 1 species